rnacentral:rRNA from 1 species
AGGGAAACCGAGUCUUAAUUGGGCGUUAAGUUGCAGGGUAUAGACCCGAAACCCGGUGAUCUAGCCAUGGGCAGGUUGAAGGUUGGGUAACACUAACUGGAGGACCGAACCGACUAAUGUUGAAAAAUUAGCGGAUGACCUGUGGCUGGGGGUGAAAGGCCAAUCAAACCGGGAGAUAGCUGGUUCUCCCCGAAAGCUAUUUAGGUAGCGCCUCGUGAAUUCAUCUCCGGGGGUAGAGCACUGUUUCGGCUAGGGGGCCAUCCCGGCUUACCAACCCGAUGCAAACUGCGAAUACCGGAGAAUGUUAUCACGGGAGACACACGGCGGGUGCUAACGUCCGUCGUGAAGAGGGAAACAACCCAGACCGCCAGCUAAGGUCCCAAAGUCAUGGUUAAGUGGGAAACGAUGUGGGAAGGCCCAGACAGCCAGGAUGUUGGCUUAGAAGCAGCCAUCAUUUAAAGAAAGCGUAAUAGCUCACUGGUCGAGUCGGCCUGCGCGGAAGAUGUAACGGGGCUAAACCAUGCACCGAAGCUGCGGCAGCGACACUGUGUGUUGUUGGGUAGGGGAGCGUUCUGUAAGCCUGCGAAGGUGUCCCGUGAGGG